rnacentral:rRNA from 1 species
UAAUACGGAGGGUGCAAGCGUUAUCCGGAUUUACUGGGUUUAAAGGGUGCGUAGGUGGGUCUGUAAGUCAGUGGUGAAAUCUUCAAGCUUAACUUGGAAACUGCCAUUGAUACUAUAGGUCUUGAAUUAUCUGGAGGUGAGCGGAAUAUGUCAUGUAGCGGUGAAAUGCUUAGAUAUGACAUAGAACACCAAUUGCGAAGGCAGCUCACUACGGAUUUAUUGACACUGAGGCACGAAAGCGUGGGGAUCAAACAGGAUUAGAUACCCUGGUAGUCCACGCCCUAAACGAUGGAUACUCGACAUACGCGAUAUACUGUGUGUGUCUGAGCGAAAGCAUUAAGUAUCCCACCUGGGAAGUACGAUCGCAAGAUUG